rnacentral:rRNA from 1 species
UAGCAAUAUUCUGUAGUUGGAGCGGCGCAAGGGUGCGUAACACGUGGGUAAUCUGCCAUGAAGUCUGGGAUAACUCGCUGAAAGGCGAGCUAAUACCGGAUGUGAAGAUUGGGAGGCAUCUUUUGAUCUUCAAAGUUGGGGACCGUAAGGCCUGACGCUUCAUGAUGAGCCCGCGGCCUAUCAGCUAGUUGGUGAGGUAACGGCUCACCAAGGCUAAGACGGGUAGCUGGUCUGAGAGGACGACCAGCCACACUGGAACUGAGACACGGUCCAGACACCUACGGGUGGCAGCAGUCGAGAAUUUUUCACAAUGGGGGAAACCCUGAUGGAGCGACGCCGCGUGGGGGAUGAAUGGCUUCGGCCCGUAAACCCCUGUCAUUCGCGAACAAUGCCUGUGUAUUAACACCAUACAGGUUGAUAGUAGCGGAAGAGGAAGGGACGGCUAACUCUGUGCCAGCAGCCGCGGUAAUACAGAGGUCCCAAGCGUUGUUCGGAUUCACUGGGCGUAAAGGGUGCGUAGGCGGUCGGGUAAGUCUGAUGUGAAAUCUCGGAGCUCAACUCCGAAACUGCAUUGGAUACUAUUCGGCUUGAGGUCUGGAGGGGGGACUGGAAUUCUCGGUGUAGCA